GAAACUUUACCCCAGUAAACAAAGCCUGCCCAUCUCUCCUCUCUUAGCCAUUUCUCAUCCGCUGUCUUAGCAUGCGAGGGGGUGACUAUCACGAGGAAAGCGACGAAGGCUGGCCCUAAUAUGUGACGUAAAACAUCCCACCGGUGGGAUGAAAGCAGUGGACCGGUUCCGCCCCCGUCCUGGUGGUCAGGUCCGCUGGAUAAACAGAUCCACCAACGCUUACAGAAAGUGGCUCCUCUGCCUGUUUGUCGUCCUGCUUGGGGACAUCCAGGCGGUCUAUGAAGCUCUGCAGCUCUUUCCUGAAGGCUUUCAUCUGUGCGUUGAUACGAUACAGCAGCUCGUGCUCUCUGAUCCUGAGGAAGAACAAGUUUGGACUUCAAAAUCAGCAAACAGCUCCCCAUUGGUGACAUAUACUCGGGCCUCAGAAAUGAUAGUGCUGGUGUCAGCGAUGAGCCUGUCAAUGGUCCGACCCAGCCUCUCCGCCUCGAUGCGGAUGUCUAUCAUCUGCUGCCGGUCCUUCAGGCUUCUGGAUAAAAAACGACUAUCUACAGUUCGGCCUCGUCUUCCACCAGCUGAAGCUGCUGCCUGAGCUCUGACAGAGCCUCGCCCUGCUCUCUGCUCUGUUGACCUCCACUGCUAGAGCCAUCCACUCCAGC